UACAAAGCAGCUCUGCAAAUUGUUCACAGGAAGAAGCUGGUGUUUACUGACCAUCCCGAAUUGCGUCUAGGAAGUGAAACAAGGGCAAGGCUUACACAAUACCACCUGACCUGCCGAGUGUUUCUGCAAUUUUCUGUUUUUAAAUCACCA